AAACCUGCCGAAGGAGUAUAACUGAUAUAAUUUCUCUCUUUUCCAAGUUUCUUAGGAAAAUGUAGUUUUUGCAGUGACAAAAUCACAGCUGCCUUAUAGAGCUCAGUGCAAAGGUCUGUAUAUGAAUUAGAUGCCUCUUAAAUGGGUUAUUAAUGAGGUCAAUGUUUUGUGCCAUGUAGAUGGACAGAUGCAAUUUCAGCUUCAUAAACCAUCUUUGGAAUUAUCUCAUAUGCUUAUUUUUCCUAAAAGCUCACAGUUGAGUCGAGGUGAGGUCUUUCAAAUUUCCGUUGUAGUAUAUAAUUACACCACGCAAUACUAUAUAUAUAUAGGACUGUAAAAUAUGUGUUAAAUAUUACACCAUGUAGGAGUAUAUUUGUAACACUUCUAUAUUAAACAUAACAUUGUUUUACAGUGUAAAAUUCACCCUUAUGCAGAGAACUCAAACCACUUUGCCUUCGUUAUGACACAUACCCUGUGUUUGCCACAUGACAGUCAUAGUAGAUUUUUCAUGUGACACAUAGCAUCCUGUUUGUGGUGACAGACCUAGAAUAAGGACUCGGAUGUGAUACUGCUGUUUUGCCGAACUGAAGAAAAAUUAUUAGUCAUAAAAUGGUCUUGCCUGAGGGACCUAGUCCUGGGGACUCCUCCUGGCUGAGUCUGGUGGCUCCUCCUGUGCAGUUCUCCAUGUGGAAGAGCUUAAUUCUGCCUCAUUUCUGGCAGAACUUUAUAUAAUGAACUUGAACAUGGAUCUGAAGCAUCACAAUGAUUGCAGUGUAGAGGACAUCUUGUUAAAUAGGCUGCUCCCACUGUUCUUGUGAGUCGGGUUCCACAAGCCUUCACAUACCAGUUUAAUGAGAUUACUUAGAGAGGUACAAAUGGAAAAACACUGUUGGUUAGAGUUUGUCUUUAUUUUAAUUGAAUUAAAGAAUAACCCACUGAACAAGAACAGAAGCUCAUAAAUGGUUUGGUUUGCUCUAGCUAGGAAUUAUCCUUAGCAGGAAUUCUAAAAUAAGGAAAAUUUAACUCAUGGUAUCUGUUUUAUAUUCUCACUCCAAAUCCUUCUGCAGGCAAUGAAGCCCAAAUUCAAUUUCCAACUCCCAGCUCUGGCUGAAUAUAUAUGGUGUUAACAUUCAUUUAAUUUUGUUUUUUUGUGUGUACCUGUGCGUUUGGUUUGGUAUUAGGAACUGGGAGCUGGUGAAGCAUUUUGAACUACCAAGCUAGCAAGUCUUUACAGCACAGGAAGAAGGUGAAGGUUUGCUUAAGAAUGUAUUUCCUUGCAACUUUGUACACUAGAAAAGCCUCAUAGCUCUAUGCAAACUGAUUCUUCAAGCUCAAGAGAUCAGCUUCAACCCUGGGGUUGGUUUGGGUCUCUUGGGUCUUGCAGGACUAAUUUGGAGCAUAAGAUAUUUGGCUAAACUUAGUGUAAAUACUUUGCUAUAAAUGAUGUAAGUGGCCAACUUCUCCACAGUUGCUAAUAGAGUAAAUACAGAUUGGCUUUGUUAUAAUUCUUUUAAUCAAAUGAUGCAGUUAAAUAAUCGUUGAUGUAAUGUUACAGGUUUCAGCGGAAUUAUUCCAUGCUAGAUCUAAUCUUGUAAUUUUUGAAAGAAAAUAAAUCUCUCAUUAUCUUCUCACAGAAAAGCAGUCUCCGUGCACUUAAUACUCCUUUUAGGUGAACUGUAGAAAACAGACUAAAAUCCAUGAAACGAAUUUGGCAAAAGUGCCAUCUGGUCCACAGCAAUUUGCAUUUGCAUGAGAAAAAAGCACAAAAUGUACCCAAACUGAACAGCAUUGGAUACCUGCUCUGAUCAAAGGUGAAGGCUUGGAGAAGGGUUAGGUUUCUCUCAGUAAUUGAAUCACAGAGAAAGGAAAGCCAUUAAAUUUGCAAAGGAGGCCAUUGAGGUUUGUUGCAUUUCCCUGACUCUUUCCAAGCCCAUUGAAUAAUCUCAGCAAUCUAAGUAUCUGUAAAGAUUUUGUCAAAGAGCAAAUGAAGGCCUUAUUGUGAAUUUUGCCUACAA